GGUUUAUCCUAGCUCAGAUUGAACGCUGGCGGGAUGCUUUACACAUGCAAGUCGAACGGCAGCACGGACUUCGGUCUGGUGGCGAGUGGCGAACAGGUGAGUAAUGUAUCGGAACGUGCCUAGUAGCGGGGGAUAACUACGCGAAAGCGUAGCUAAUACUGCAUACGCCCUUCGGGGAAAGCGGGGACCUUCGGGCCUCGCGCACUAUUAGAGCGGCCGAUAUCGGAUUAGCUAGUUGGUGGGGUAACGGCUCGCAAGGCGACGAUCCGUAGCUGGUUUGAAGGACGACCAGCCACACUGGGACUGAGACACGGCCCAGACUCCUACAGGAGGCAGCAGUGGGAAUUUU
rnacentral:misc_RNA from 1 species